AUGUGAUCGUCUCUCGCAUAUCAAUAAGCGGAGGAAAAGAAACUAACAAGGAUUCCCCUAGUAACGGCGAGUGAAGCGGGAAGAGCUCAAAUUUGAAAUCUUAAAGGGUUUCCCUUUACGAAUUGUAGUUUAAAGAAGUGUUUUCUGUUGAGGUUUUGGUAAAAGUUCUUUGGAAUAGGACAUCAUAGAGGGUGAGAAUCCCGUAUUUGACCUUUACUUUCAACUUUGUGAUACACUUUCAAAGAGUCGGAUUGUUUGGGAAUGCAGUCCAAAAUGGGUGGUAAAUUUCAUCUAAAGCUAAAUAUUGGCGAGAGACCGAUAGCGAACAAGUACCGUGAGGGAAAGAUGAAAAGAACUUUGAAAAGAGAGUUAAGCAGUACGUGAAAUUGUCAAAAGGGAAGCGUUUGACACCAGUGUUGUUUUUCUGAAAAUCAAUUAAAGAACUGUUUAUGCUAAGCUUGUUUAGACUUUAUCAGCUAACUGUUUUAGUUUUGAGCUUUUCUUUAAUGCACUUUUCAGUUAACAAGUCAACAUCAAUUUCUUUUGCUGUAAAAAAGCUUGAGGAAGGUGGCUUGAGAUUCGUCUUAAGUGUUUAUAGCCUCUUGCCUAUGCAGUCGGAGAGAUUGAGGUCUGCAGCGUAGAUCCUUCGGGGCUAAAUGCAUUUGUGCUAAGUUAUAGCAUUUUAUAGACAACUUGUUGACUAUGAUUUGUCUUGUAGCUUACUCGCUUAUGUUAUUUUACCUACGCUUAGGAUGUUGAGUAGCGACAUACGCAC
rnacentral:rRNA from 1 species